GUGCUCACUUAGGCAGCACAUAUACUAAAACUGGAAUGAUACAAAGAAAGUUAGCAUGGCUCCUUCGCAAGGAUGACACGAAAAUUCGUGAAGUGUUCCAUAUUAAA
ensembl:snRNA U6 U6 spliceosomal RNA